ACAAUGGCAUAUACAAGAGAAGCGACCUCGCGAGAGCAAGCGGACCUCAUAAAGUAUGUCGUAGUCCGGAUUGGAGUCUGCAACUCGACUCCAUGAAGUCGGAAUCGCUAGUAAUCGUAGAUCAGAAUGCUACGGUGAAUACGUUCCCGGGCCUUGUACACACCGCCCGUCACACCAUGGGAGUGGGUUGCAAAAGAAGUAGGUAGCUUAACCUUCGGGAGGGCGCUUACCACUUUGUGAUUCAUGACUGGGGUGAAGUCGUAACAAGGUAACCGUAGGGGAACCUGCGGUUGGAUCACCUCCUUACCUUAAAGAA
rnacentral:rRNA from 1 species